rnacentral:rRNA from 1 species
GGAUUCCCCUAGUAACGGCGAGUGAAGCGGGAAGAGCUCAAAUUUAAAAUCUGGCAGUCUUUGGCUGUCCGAGUUGUAGUCUAGAGAAGUGUUUUCCGCGCUGGACCGUGUACAAGUCUCUUGGAACAGAGCGUCAUAGAGGGUGAGAAUCCCGUCUUUGACACGGACUACCAGUGCUUUGUGAUGCGCUCUCAAAGAGUCGAGUUGUUUGGGAAUGCAGCUCAAAAUGGGUGGUAAAUUCCAUCUAAAGCUAAAUAUUGGCGAGAGACCGAUAGCGAACAAGUACCGUGAGGGAAAGAUGAAAAGCACUUUGGAAAGAGAGUUAAACAGUACGUGAAAUUGCUGAAAGGGAAACGCUUGAAGUCAGUCGCGUCGACUAGAACUCAGCCUUGCUUUUGCUCGGUGCAUUUUCUAGUAGACGGGCCAGCAUCAGUUUUGAUUGCAGGAUAAAGGUCAGGGGAAUGUGGCACCUUCGGGUGUGUUAUAGCCUCUGAUUGCAUACUGUGAUUGGGACUGAGGAUCUCAGCACGCCUUUAUGGCCGGGGUUCCCCCACGUUCGUGCUUAGGAUGCUGGCGUAAUGGCUUUAAACGACCCGUCUUGAAACACGGACCAAGGAGUCUAACAUACCUGCAAGUGUUUGGGUGGUAAACCCGAGCGCGUAAUGAAAGUGAUAGUUGGGAUCUCUGUCGUGGAGAGCACCGACGCCCGGACCAGACCUUCUGUGACGGCUCCGCGGUAGAGCAUGUAUGCUGGGACCCGAAAGAUGGUGAACUAUGCCUGAAUAGGGUGAAGCCAGAGGAAACUCUGGUGGAGGCUCGUAGCGAUUCUGACGUGCAAAUCGAUCGUCAAAUUUGGGUAUAGGGGCGAAAGACUAAUCGAACCAUCUAGUAGCUGGU